rnacentral:snoRNA from 1 species
UAUGUGAUGAGACGAUAUUCACACUGUUUGACCCUCCUUCGGGUUGGAAUGAACACUAAACAAAAUCUGAUUUAAUGAGGUA